UAUGUGCCCCGCGCGCGCACGCGUGUGUGUUCACAGUCAGUCGGGAAGAGCCUCAGACACACAAACACGGCCAGCGGCAGUAAUGAAUGGUGCUUGACCCACAAGCGGCUGGAUAUUGUCGAUAAGCGGAUGUCGAGCGCUGUUGGGGUUUUUCUGUUGAAAUGUUUCGUUAGUAGCGCAAGGGUGAGUCGAUGCCUUUAAAUGUCACGGUUUCACUGUUAGCCUGUUAGCCGUGCGGAUAUGCUGUGACUAAAAACUACGACUUCAACUCAUUAACAGCAACUGCAGACACUCAUCUAUAGAGGUACACCUACGGGAGUUCAAGAUUGUGCCACAGAAACCAGACUCGCCCAGACAGUCACAGACCAGACACACCUGAGCAGACAGGUGGCCGCCCCACCCUCCACACGACACCAGGCUGGACUCCUAAUCAUAUAUUAGGAGGAUUUGAGUUGGCGUGUGUGCGAGAGAUUGCCAAGAACACAGACACAACCAGAAACAUCUUAUAUAACCGAGGAAGCUCUCCUGCAUUAGAAGUGUUGUCCGGCCUCACUCUUUAACAUUCUGGUGGUUCAACCCGCUCCUGUCCUGCCUGACCGGUGGUGGUGUUGGUCAGACAGCGGGCAGUGCCAUGCCCCAGGCGUAAGUGCGUGUCUCCUGGCAGACUCGGGCGUGGUGGGCCGCCGGUGGGCGUCUGGCUGCAGGAGGUGAUGAAGCUGAAGCAGCGUGUGGUGGUGUUGUGUGCUGUGCUCUUUCUCCUCGGCCUGGCCAAGGUUUUCUUGCUGGAUGGAGGGGAGGGAUCGGCCGCCAGCCGCCGCGACCUGCGGGCCUUCCGCAAGAUGGAGGCCAACCUGGCCCUGGCCAAGGGAGCUCGCCUCACGCAUACCCUGCAGUCGCCCUGGGAGGUGGCCGCCCAGUGGGUGGGUCCGCGGGAGGUGUACCCAGACGAAACGCCCGAGCUAGCCGCUGUGCUGAACGCCCUGGCCACCGCUCGCGUGGAAAGGGCUGAUGUGGGCUAUAAAGGCACCCAGCUGAAAGCCCUCCUAGUGCUCGACGGAGGACAGAAAGUGGUAUUCAAACCCAAGAGGUACACUAGAGAUUAUGUGGUUGAAGGAGAGCCGUACGCAGGGUACGAUCGGCAUAAUGCAGAAAUUGCUGCUUUCCACUUGGACAGGAUCCUAGGUUUUAGAAGAGCACCCCUGGUGGUGGGGAGAUUUAUGAAUCUGCGUACUGAAAUUAAGCCAGUAGCUACAGAUCAACUGCUAAGCACUUUCUUGAUGCACGGAAAUAAUACAUGUUUCUAUGGGAAGUGUUAUUACUGCCGUGAGACUGAGCCUGCGUGUGCAGAGGGGGAUGUGAUGGAGGGAUCUGUUACCCUGUGGCUCCCUGACGUCUGGCCCUUACAGAAACACAGACACCCAUGGGGACGGACAUACCGAGAGGGCAAACUCGCCAGGUGGGAGUAUGAUGAGAGCUACUGCGAAGCCGUGAAGAAAAUGCCUCCUUACGAUGCCGGUCCACGGCUCCUGGAUGUUAUUGACACAGCCAUCUUUGAUUACCUUAUCGGUAAUGCAGAUCGGCAUCACUAUGAGAGUUUCCAAGACGAUGGAGGAGCCAGUAUGCUCAUCCUUCUGGACAAAGCCAAAAGUUUUGGGAACCCAGCUCUGGAUGAGAGGAGUAUUCUCGCCCCUCUUUAUCAGUGUUGCAUGGUCCGUGUUUCCACCUGGAACAGGCUAAACCUGCUAAAAGGUGGAGUGUUGAGUUCAGUGAUGCGACAGGCCACGGCCCACGAUCCCGCCUUUCCGGUGCUAACAGGGCCGCAUCUCACCGCGCUCGACCGCCGUCUCAACGGCGUGCUGGCCACUGUGCGGCAGUGCAUGGAGACGCAGGGCGCUGACAACACGCUGAUCGAGGACCGCAUGAACCUGCCUCAUCCUUAAACACACUGAAGAAACAAGUUUCCACAGGACAACGGGAUAUUCAUGCAAAUGCUCCACUUAGAUUCACAUGAGUUGAAAUUCACAGUCAUCUGGAACCAGAGUGUUGUUCUGAACAAUCAGAAGAGGUUGAAGCUGUCCUGUGCAGGACCGUACAUGGUCUAUCUGUGGGCUUGUGUGGACAGCUACGGCACUCAGACGGUUGCCAACCUGACACUGGAACAGGGCAAUAAUUCGUUCCACCUGCAGACCCUGCAAGACGAAGGGUGCCAGGAGCAGCAAAGUGUUUUCAUGCUCUCUGAUAAAAGCGAAAUCACGUUGAAAGUCAGACAUACUGAAGACCCUUUCAAGAUUAAAAAGCUCUUCUUAGGCCUCCACUACAUGCUAGGAGCCCAGUGCUUCAAUCAUCCACUAUAGAAGCUCUCUUUUUUUAAGGUGCUCGUUCUCCAGAAGAGCUGUUUAAAUGAUGAAACUAUGGCAUGACCCUCAGUUUGAGUUACCAUGAAGAGAUAUCUCUCGUUUUCACCCUGAUUUGAAACUUGCCUGAGUUUGAAGUAUAAUGAUGAUGCCAUAGUCAGACUUUCCCUGGACCAAAAGUAUAAUCAUGAAGCUAAAGAAGAAGACUUGGAGAGCUGCAAAGACAUUUUUCCAUAGCGGAAGAGUCAUUUUUCCAUACUAUAUUAAAGCUUCCUGGCUCUUCAAGAUGGACUAUUUGUGAAACACCUACUGCAUCACAGUGGAAGUGGGCGACGACGUGGUAUUAACUGUAAUGGCACUUUGUCAGCGCAAAGAGAGCAUACCUCACCACAAUCUGGAUUAGUGGCGUUCCAUAAGCUCUUUGAAUGUAUUGAUACUCUGGUUGAAAGAGAAUGGAAGGCCUUUAUCUGAAGUGACCAGCUGCAGAUCAUUUUGAAGCUACUUCUGAUCAAUGUACGUAGUACUGUCAUUUGAGCAGGAUUAAUUACAACACCCUCAGAUAUUGUCCUGAUAGUGCUUUCAAAUACUGACAUAGCAAUAAUGUUCUCAAUGUUUGUCAUUGUCAUUAUAUUUAUAUAUAUAAAAAAAAAAACUGGAAGAAAACUCCACAUAUCAAAGGAAAUACCAAAGGGUGACAUUUUUAUAUUUCAGUUUAGGCUUUGGAACAGGUACUGAAUAUGUAUAUUGUGUUUGUAAUACAGAAAUGAAUGUUGUUGUUUUUUUUUAAUUUUUUUUAUAAGAUUUUUAAUUAUCUAAAACAGUUUAAUUAUGUAAACUGUAUGCGAUCAAAUGUUUGAUGAUUUGUUAAAAUCAGAGUUACUGGAUAAUGUAAGGAGUUAAUCCACACGGUCAGAAACUUUGAAAGUUCUGAUAGUGUCCUUUCCCUUUACGAGCACAUGUCGGAAAAUGUAUUUAUUGAAAUUAAAUUAAAGUGUAUUUUUUUAUUUAAUCAAACCACUGCUAUAGUGAUGGUGAAGAAAAGCACUAAAGACCUCAAAAGCAAAACUAAAAAAAAAAACCUGUACCAUCCACAUCUCAUUCAUUCACUCACUCACUCAUCAAAUGUAUGUAAAUUCAGUCUUAAUGACAUUUUCAUCACUUUUUAGUUUGUUUUACUUUGUUUCAUUGUCAGUGCAAUGUGUUUGUUUAUCAAGCAUGAUCUCAAAUGUCUAACCUGCUCAAUCAAAUCCCUGCUGCAGUUUCUUUAGCAAUGCUUUAUUUAUACAGCAAAUUUUGCACUUUUAUUUUAAAAAUAUUAUUAUACACCAUCAAUAAAAAUG